UACAGAGGGUGCGAGCGUUUAAUCGGAAUUACUGGGCGUAAAGCGUGCGUAGACGGUUAUUUAAGUCGGGUGUGAAAGCCCCGGGCUCAACCUGGGAAUUGCAUUCGAGACUGAAUAGCUAGGGUACGGUAGAGGGAAGUGGAAUUUCCGGUGUAGCGGUGAAAUGCGUAGAUAUCGGAAGGAACAUCAGUGGCGAAAGCGACUUCCUGGACCAGUACCGACGUCAGGCACGAAAGCGUGGGGAGCAAAGCAGGA
rnacentral:rRNA from 1 species